rnacentral:rRNA from 1 species
UACGGAAGGCAGCAGUGGGGAAUAUUGCACAAUGGGCGCAAGCCUGAUGCAGCCAUGCCGCGUGUAUGAAGAAGGCCUUCGGGUUGUAAAGUACUUUCAGCGGGGAGGAAGGCGAUGCGGUUAAUAACCGCGUCGAUUGACGUUACCCGCAGAAGAAGCACCGGCUAACUCCGUGCCAGCAGCCGCGGUAAUACGGAGGGUGCAAGCGUUAAUCGGAAUUACUGGGCGUAAAGCGCACGCAGGCGGUCUGUUAAGUCAGAUGUGAAAUCCCCGGGCUUAACCUGGGAACUGCAUUUUGAAACUGGCAGGCUUGAGUCUUGUAGAGGGGGUAGAAUUCCAGGUGUAGCGGUGAAAUGCGUAGAGAUCUGGAGGAAUACCGGUGGCGAAGGCGGCCCCUGGGACAAGACUGACGCUCAGGUGCGAAAGCGUGGGGAGGCAAACAGGAUUAGGAUACC